GUAGGGGUUAUGUGAGGCAAAUCCUUGCAUUAUAAAUCCCUGAUGAAGGACGGGGACUGUGCAGCGAUGCAUGGGAACUUGGAGGAGCCGUACUGCCAAGAAAGAGCCGCUCAGGGAGGUUAUUUGUUGCCCGUACCGGAAACCGACACAGGUGGACGAGGGUAGUACCCAAAGGCGCACAAGAGAACCCCUGUUAAGGAACUCGGCAAAAUGCACGUGUAACUUCGGGAUAAGCGUGGCCUCAAGUAGGUGAUGGGGAGAAACCGAAGCUGAAAGAGGUUGCAAAAAAGAGGCUCUGGCGACUGUUUACCAAAAACACAGAUCUCUGCUAAGACUUAAGUCUAAGUAUAGGGAUUGAGACCUGCCCGGUGCCAGAAGGUUAAAGAAGGGGGUCAACGGGGUAACCCGUGAAGCUCUUGACUGAAGCCCUGGUAAACGGCGGCUGUAACAAUAACAGUCCUAAGGUAGCGAAAUUCCUUGUCGGGUAAGUUCCGACCUGCAUGAAUGGUAUAACGACUGGAGCGCUGUCUCAACAGGGGACUUGGUGAAAUUGAAGUAUCGGUGCAAAUACCGAUUACCCGCAGCUAGACGGUAAGACCCUGUGAACCUUUACUGUACCCUGGCAUUGUAUUCUGGCACGUUCUGUGUAGGAUAGGUGGGAGGCUAUGAAGCGUGGGCGCCAGCUUGCGUGGAGCCAACCUUGAAAUACCACCCUUAACGUGUCGGACUACUACGGAUGCUGUGGAAGCAUCUAGACAGUGUCAGGCGGGCAGUUUGACUGGGGCGGUCACCUCCCAAAGUGUAACGGAGGUGUACGAAGGUUCCCUCGAGCUGUAUAGAAAUCAGCUGAAAGAGCGUAAAGGUAUAAGGGAGCUUGACUGCGAGAGAGACAUCUCGAGCAGGGACGAAAGUCGGUCUUAGUGAUCCGGUGGUUUUUGUAUGGAAAAGCCAUCGCUUAACGGACAAAAGGUACUCCGGGGAUAACAGGCUGAUACCGCCCAAGAGUUCACAUCGACGGCGGUGUUUGGCACCUCGAUGUCGGCUCAACUCAUCCUGGGGCUGAAGUAGGUCCCAAGGGUUCGGCUGUUCGCCGAUUAAAGAGUUACGUGAGCUGGGUUCAGAACGUCGUGAGACAGUUCGGUCCCUAUCUACUGUGGGCGCUGGAUAUUUGAGGGGAGCUGUUCCUAGUACGAGAGGAUCGGAAUGGACGUACCCCUGGUGCACCAGUUGUCGUGCCAACGGCACAGCAGGGUAGCUAUGUACGGAAGGGAUAACCACUGAAAGCAUCUAAGUGGGAAGCCUCCCCCAAGAUUAGAUAUCCCUUAAGGUUCCAGGUAGACUACCUGGUUGAUAGGUCGCAGGUGUAAGUACAGUAAUGUAUUCAGCCGAGCGAUACUAAUAAACCGUUUGACUUGCCCCU
rnacentral:rRNA from 1 species